UACGUAGGGGGCAAGCGUUGUCCGGAAUCAUUGGGCGUAAAGAGCGUGUAGGCGGCCCGGUAAGUCUGUUGUGAAAGUCCAGGGCUCAACCCUGGAAUGCCGAUGGAUACUGCCGGGCUAGAGUUCGGAAGAGGCGAGUGGAAUUCCUGGUGUAGCGGUGAAAUGCGCAGAUAUCAGGAGGAACACCAAUGGCGAAGGCAGCUCGCUGGGACGGUACUGACGCUGAGACGCGAAAGCGUGGGGAGCAAACAGG
rnacentral:rRNA from 1 species